GUUUAGUUGAUAAGAAUGCCAAAAAUUUAUUUUGUAAGCAAUUCUAAAUAUAAGGUAGCAAAAACUCAGGGUGAGGUGAAACGAGACAGCUAGACAAGAGGUAUUUGCAAGCUGCUGGUCACGUUGGCACCUCCAGCAGCUGGUCAAAGUGUUCCAGCUCCUGCUGGAGACAGGCCUUGAGAAGGCCCAUAACCACGAACAGUGAGUGCUUCAAGCCAGUUUAGUCAUAGGAUUUCAGCUCCUGGCCCAGCAAGGGGAGGAUCAAGCAGUAUUCUGUUUCCUAGAAUCUUUUCUUGUAACACUUAACUUCUGAUCGAGUUAAGCAAAUGCGGCCAGGGCAGUCUGCUUCCAGAUCUUAUACAGACAAAUGAAAAUAUUUUGUUCUUCCUUUUUCGGCUUCCUGCCCACAUGUGAGGGACUAUGUUAGACGUGGGAGGCCUCUUUCUGCAACUUCCUGCCCUCUUACCCUCUCAAGGAACAACGAGGCCAUUGGUCUAGACUAAGUCCUACAUUCAGUCCCAACACACAAAGAAAAGCAUCAAAAUGGAGUGCCUUGUGCUGAAGUUCAUAUCAUCAAGUGUAUGUCUUUGUGAAGAAGGUGUUGGGUCCUUGGAAGUGAGUUACAGACAGGUGUGAGCUACCAGGCAGGUGCUGGGAAUUGCACCUAGGUCCUCUGGAAGACCAGUCUGUGCUUUUCACCACUGAGCCAUCUCUCCAGCUAAAAAAUAAUGCAACCAUGGACGAAAGGAAGAGUGGGUUUGGAACAACUGGUCAGCUCUGCUCGACUGACAGCCAUCUGAAGGCAUCUUCUCAUUCUCAGUUGUUAUGGAUCAUGUAACAGAAACCAGACCUUAGCAGACUGUGAGAAGAAAGCCCACAAGGAUCGAAUUCCACAGGCAUGGUCAAUAACGUAAAUCCUAUACCACCCAGCACUUCCCAAAAUAGAUCCCCCUGCCUCACCGAACUACACAGCAAAGUUGGAAGGAG
rnacentral:lncRNA from 1 species